rnacentral:lncRNA from 1 species
AUCCUAUAGCCUUAUUCUGCAGAAACGAUCAGACCAACCGAAGGAGAGAGAGAGGGAGAGAGAGAGAGAGAGAUGGGGAUGGGAUUAAAGCAGAGGGUGUUGAGCAUGUAAAUAGGUAGGUGUUUCCAAAGCCUAAAGUCGCAAGGGUUUCCAGUUCCAGUUGAACUCGGAGUUUACUGUUUACCCAACAUGACCACUCUAUUUUUAUAAACCUGUUUUGGACCAAUUUUAAAUAAUCUAGUCCUACCAAUUUUAAUACGCUUUAUACCCGUUUAUUUAUUCAUUCUAAAACGUUAAUAUAAUUAGUCAGGUUGCUCUCUCUGUCCUCUUGCGAUUCUAGCUAGGUAUCGUUCGCAAAUCUACUUUUCAUUGAUAUCGCACAAUCGUCUCAACUCGUGUAUUUAUCGAAUGUAACAAAAUAUUAACCCUUAAUUUUAGAAAUAUUUGUUUUUAUAAAAAAUUUCAAAUAUAUUCAAAAUCUUACUUAAAUAGACACUGAUGAAUCCAUAUUAUACCAUAUAUUUUACCCUAAUCUUAGUUAUAAUUUAUUAGUUUAUUUAGAUGAAUUUUGAUACUUUGUUAUGUAUUUUCAAUGUAGAACAUUCGACUUCUUCUGGAGCAAAAAGUGAUCAAAUAGAUAAAUUUUGGAGUGAUUCCAACUGAAGGAUGUUCGUGAGCCUUUCAAGAUAAUUGUAUCAAAGUUUCAUAUUUUUUUACCAAACCGUUUUACCGUGAUGAUGAAAUAAAGACCCAGCACGAAACGUUUAUGUACGUUUUGGGUAUUUUAAAGGUCAAUAUGACAUAUUUUGAGGAAGAUUCCUUCUGAGGAUUUGUCAGGGACGGCUCAAGCUUUAAAAAGAGAUAUUUUGGGACCAAAUCAGAGUUGAUUUGGUCGGUCAAAAGUCUAAUUUUCUGAGAAGUCCGAAUUUCAGUUUAAAUAGGAAACAUUUUAUUUCCUAGUUAUCUUAUUCUAUUAUAUUUCCCAGUUUUUGGAAGACAUUUUCUAAGUAGGAUUUUAUUUUGUAAUAGUAUAAAUAAGGCUAUUUAGCCAUUAGGAGGGGAUCAAUUUGGAGAGACGCAUUAACUUAGGAGCUUUUGCCAAUUCAAGUUUAUUUUCAAGGUGUUUUCUAUCUAUGUUCUUAAUAAUAUUUUGUUUUAUGAUUAUUCGUAACUAGUUUCGUUUGCUAGGGCGAGGUCACGAGCCUUAGCAAGAAUAUGUAGUUUCUUUUCAAUUUACUUAUGAUGUUAUGCAUGCAGGUUUUGAAUUAUUAAUCACCGUGUUUAUACUAUCUAAUUGUCCUGAUGAUUGGCCACCAUUUGGAUAUUUAGAAAUAUAAUUUGAUGCAAUUUUGACAGAGGGUUGUCCCUAGAAUUGGCAUUGGCUUCUUGUGGUUAGUAUGUGUAACUUCUUAGGAUGGACGACACGACUUAAGGGUUAUAUUGUUUUUCAAAAGGUUUUCACAAAACUUAAUAAGUCUUGCAUGUUCACAUUUGAUCUGGGCGCUACGGACGGGUUACAUGUUAGAUAUACGUUCUAUGUUGGAGGUUUCAAGUAGGACAUACUUUAGGAAAGCCUAACCUUCAAAAUAUGCAUGUGUAAGUCAUAAGUAAUUGGAAGAACUACGUAAGAUUGUUAAGGUGACGACAAAACCCUAGUGUGUAAAUAGAUUUUCAAAACUAUUUUCUUUUGUUUUCUUUACUUUCCAAUUUAUUUAAUUGUUUUUAAUUAAUUCGUUUUUAAUAUUUUAGGUCAUUAAAUCAACCUUUUUCAAAUAAUUAAUUAAGAUUUGAUUCUAACAUAAAUUAUUCAUUCAACCUUUUUCAACCUAGUACUCCAUGCAAUUAAAUGUGUUUAUCCUUACUUUUGCAAGUGGUAAAAAUACCUAUCAAACACAAAUACCUAAAACUUUAAAACCAAAUAAACUAAAAAAUCAAAACCCCAUUAGAUGAAGGCGAGGAGAGAAAUAGCUAUUAAAAGUUCCAAGUGCAGCAAUCAAAUCAUCACAUCAGAAUCAGAUGGAAGAAAACCCUGCGAAUCCCUCCUCCGACCAUUGGUACCAUGCAUUGGCCUGCAGUAAUUAAGCCCCUCUUGUUAAUCAUCUUCGUAGGCGGCUGGAGCAUAAUCUUUUACUUCCUGGAGGCGCAUGAACACUUUGUUGGGGCUUAAAAAGACUUCACUACUUUGGAGUUGUUUUUCUCACAAAGGAGUAUGUAACGCAGCGGAAUUGAUAGACAAGAGAAAGAAAUAAUACUCAAAGUAUUACACAAGAUUUUUAUUCACUCACAAACUUAAUACAAGAGGAAACACUCAAACACUCUUAGAAGCUUUGUUGCUUCUUCUCACUUCUCACUACUUGCUCUCUUGGUUGUUACAAAUGGUGUGGAUGCCUUCUCCUUUUAUAGGCAUGGAUGGAACCUUGGAGAAGCAUGGAAGUAUCAUGCUAGAGAUAUCUAGAUAAUUCCACUUCCUUCCUAAGUUAGAAUUAUCUACACUAAUCUUGUAUGUUGGUUGAAUCCUCACCAUUCUUCUAGACUCUUCCACCAACUUGAACUUUGCUAGAAUUCUCUAGCAUGUGCAUGGAUCUUUCUUUGUGCAUGGGCUGGAUCCAUUAUCUUUGGGCCAAGACAAGAUUACAAUUCAAAAUCCCCCUUAAUCUUGUCCUGUGACACCGAUUGAGUUCCUCAGUCCGAUAAAGUCUUCUUGUUUGAGUGGCUUAGUGAAUAUGUCCGCAAUUGGUCUUGAGACUUCACGUAUUCCACUUGCACAUCCUUUCUUGCAAUACACUCUCUUAUGUAAUGAUAGCGGGUAUCUAUGUGUUUGCUCAUGUCAUGGAAUACUGAAUUCUUUGCUAGAGCUAUUGCAGACUUGCAAUACACUCUCUUAUGUAAUGAUAGCGGCACCUGCUGUGUGAGUAGGCUGUGUUGGGUUUCACUUGUUGGAGAAGCUGAGUUGGGAGGAUGCUUUGUAUUUGUCAGUUGUUUCUGUGACCACUGUUGGCUACGGUGAAAUUCCAGUAAAGACAGCAAGCACUAGGGUUUUUGCAAGCAUUUGGAUGUGUUUUUCCACAAUUAUCUUUAUCAAAUGUCAGACAUACCUAGUUGUUAGAAUUAUGAGAGCAUUUGGAAGAAAUUAAGGCUUUGACAUUCGUAGACUCUGACUCUUCUUCUGGGUGCUAGUGUUUUGUUAGGGAAGCAGUUUGUGUAGAUGGAACCAGACUCUUUCGAGUCUUAUGUGUUACGUUAUAUCGAGUCAUUCUCAUGUAAAGAAAUUCCAAAUCACAUUUAGUUUUCAUUAUCAAUUACGGUUUUAGUAUUGUUUACUUCUUUUAGAAUAACUUGUUUUUAUUACAAAAUGUUGGAACCAAAUUUGUGAAAAUCAUAGUCCCUCUUUGGGACUCCCACAUGAAAGAACUCGGUAAAAGCCUUUACUUGAGGGAAAGUAAAACUACAUUGGAAAAAAAACGAGCAAGGAAAAUGACGCUUCCACACGCCCAGUAAAAACAUCCCAGUAAACAAACAAAUCCCCCUCCAUGCCAUGAACGCGUUGCAACACACCAAAUGGAAAUGUAAUUUUUAAUUCCAUAUUUUAUAUUUACUUUUUUAAAUACUGUAAAAUCAAAUAUUAAUUGAAUAGCGGGUCUUAUGGAAAACUUAAAAAUCUUGAAUGAAUACAAUCAGAUUUUUAGACCAUCUCCAAAGGCUAAGCGGAAUGUCGCAUAAUCAAAUUUGAAAGUAGGAAGAAACUUUAACUGAUAUGUCAAUAUGAACCUUUUGCUGUCAAAUUUGACAUGUGCAAAAAAGGUUACUGUCAAUUAGUUUUUUUAUUAUUUUAUUGCGUGUGUUCUAUUAAUACACCAAUUAUAAAUUUUAAAAUUUAUUUUAAUUGAUUUUUUUUAAAUGAAUCCUACAAAUAUCAAUUAUAACAAAAAAAAUAGAGAAAGAAAAAAAUGACAUUGUGUAGAAAAAUAAUUCAAGCUCAAGCACAAAAAAUCAAACAUACUACUCUGAUCAACUGACCUAAUUCACAUCAGUCCAAAAUCAAUUUGUUUGGAUGAGAGCAAAUUUGAGUGGGUGUAGAGAUUGGGGUGCAAAGUCCACACUUCUCUAGCUCGUACAAAUUGGGUAAGUCCACUCGGCAACACCCCCCCCCCCCCCCCCCCCCUUCCCCGCUUCUCUCUCUCUCUCUCUCUCUCUCUCUCUCUCUCUCCCUCUCCCUCCCUCCCCCUCCCCCCCCUCCUCCUCCUCUCUCAGACGAAAAUUCAAAUUCUAGCCCUUGCCACGAGAGAUUUUUGGGACUUCCUAUUUGCUUAGAGAAGGAUAAGCGGAAACUUUUUUGUUCAAUCAAGGACCAUGUUUGGAACAAAGUAUACAAGGGGGAAGGCAAAUUGAUUUCUCAGGGCGGAAGAUAAGUGUUGACUGAAGCAAUGUGGCAAGCUAUACCCAAUUAUAGAAUGCUUUCAGUUACUACUUUUCUAGUAGAGAAACUUGCAGAAACUUAUGCACGUAAAGAAGUGGGUACUUCACUACUUCAACUGCAAUGUUAGAGGUCACUCGUAUGGAUGCUUUAUCUAUCAGUUUGAUAGGAUUAGCAAUUUAGCUGCAAAAACAUAAACAACUAAAUAAAAACAAUGUCUAAAAUGCACCUGCCAAUAGUUAUAUAUAUAUAUAUUACAAUACAAUACGCAGGUAAAUACAGCAGCUAGUAGAAAUUAGAAUCAUCAAUCUCAAUCAGGUCAGCAAUAACACCUAUGACUUCGAUCAAAAUCUUGGCAUGCCCUUGACUGCCCCGCCGUCCCAUUCGGUGGGAAAAGGUCGCAAGAGAAGCGCGUCAGUUCGGAAGUAUCCAGACCAAACAACGUAGUAUUAUACCUAAAAGAACCCAACAGCUUCAGCCACAGGCUCCCCGACCCAUAACAACUUGGGGAGGUGGAGGAAGAGGAGGAGGAGAUGAUUAUAUCGUUGGCCGCGUCUGUUCCGAUGUACGACCUCGCCAUUACCACCGAGAAAUCAAGAGUGAUCUGGUUCAUCUUACUUACAUAGAUGGGAGGCAACGGCGCCGUUCCCAGCUUGAGAUUGCUGUCGCUUUCCUUGUCGUCGACGUCGCCGUAGAAGAUAUCGGCUUGAAGGUUCUCGUAAUACAAGUCCAGCUUCCGGUUGGGAUUUAUAGCAACCAGCGUCAAGUCCCACGUGGCGGUUAAGUAGUCGCUGCUGGAUGUGGCGGUGAGUGGGCACGGCGACACGGCUACCAAGUCGACCCGGAACUCAGGGAAUUCAGGGCUGAGCUUCGCGUCACGCAAUAAAGUCCACGCCAAGGCUGUGAAGAGAAAGAUUGCCAAUAGCGCGGCGAAGCAAGAAAACAAUUUUACAAAGCCGUCCGGCGGAGGAAGACUUUGCCAUUCCCAUUCGAUCAGUUAAUUCACUAUCCUAUAGCCUUAUUCUGCAGAAUCGAUCAGACCAACCGAAGGAGAGAGAGAGAGAGAGAGAGAGAGAGAGAGAGAGAGAUGGGGAUGGGAUUAAAAGCAGAGGGUGUUGAGCAUGUAAAUAGGUAGGUGUUUCCAAAGCCUAAAGUCGCAAGGAUUUCCAGUUCCAGUUGAACUCGGAGUUUACUGUUUACCCAACAUGACCACUCUAUUUUUAUAAACCUGUUUUGGACCAAUUUUAAAUAAUCUAGUCCUACCAAUUUUAAUACGCUUGAUACCCGUUUAUUUAUUCUUUCUAAAACGUUAAUAUAAUUAGUCAGGUUGCUCUCUCUGUCCUCUUGCGAUUCUAGCUAGGUAUCGUUCGCAAAUCUACUUUUCAUUGAUAUCGCACCAUCGUCUCAACCUGUGUAUUUAUUGAAUGUAGCCAAAUAUUAGCCCUUAAUUUUAGAAAUAUUUGUUUUUAUAAAAACUUUUAAAUAUAUUCAAAAUCUCACUUAAAUAGACACUGAUGAAUCCAUAUUAUACCAUAUAUUUUACCAUAAUCGUAGUUAUAAUUUAUUAGUUUAUUUAGAUGAAUUUUGAUACUUUAUUAUGUAUUUUCAAUAUAGAACAUUCGACUUCUUCUGAAGCAAAAAGUGAUCAAAUGGAUGAAUUUUGGAGUGAUUCCAACUAAAGGAUGUUCGUGAGCCUUUCAAGAUGAUUGUAUCAAAGUUUCAUAUUUUUCUAUCUAACCAUUUGACCGUGACGAUGAAAUAAAGACCCAAUGCGCAAUGUUUCUGUACGUUUUGGGUAUUUUGAAGGUCAAGAUGGCAUAUUUUGAGGA